UGGGGAAUAUUGGACAAUGGGCGAAAGCCUGAUCCAGCCAUGCCGCGUGUGUGAAGAAGGUCUUCGGAUUGUAAAGCACUUUAAGUUGGGAGGAAGGGUUGUAGAUUAAUACUCUGCAAUUUUGACGUUACCGACAGAAUAAGCACCGGCUAACUCUGUGCCAGCAGCCGCGGUAAUACAGAGGGUGCAAGCGUUAAUCGGAAUUACUGGGCGUAAAGCGCGCGUAGGUGGUGAGUUAAGUUGGAUGUGAAAUCCCCGGGCUCAACCUGGGAACUGCAUUCAAAACUGACUGACUAGAGUAUGGUAGAGGGUGGUGGAAUUUCCUGUGUAGCGGUGAAAUGCGUAGAUAUAGGAAGGAACACCAGUGGCGAAGGCGACCACCUGGACUGAUACUGACACUGAGGUGCGAAAGCGUGGGGAGCAAACA
rnacentral:rRNA from 1 species